CACCCCCAGAAAUCGCACCUGAAAUCUCUUGUUCUUUUUUACCUAUUUUAUUUUUCCCAAACCAUUUCUCCCUUACCCCAAUUCCCUUUAUUUUUUCCCCCCAAUUUCCCCAAAUCGGCAGCCCUCUGCAUCUUCUCAAAGGGUUGUAGCAGAAGGAGGUCUCGAACUAUCAGGUCAGGUGGUACAGAUUCAUGGAGUCCUUACGGAUACCCCACGCCACCACAAUCUGCAUAUCGUCAACAAAAUUAUUACUACACGCCGCAACACCCUAGUUAUGCACCAUCACCGUCAUAUAAUUAUGUACAGCAAACUCCUAGGUGUGUACAUAGGACUAUGGAGAGGAAAUACUCAAGGAUAGAUGAUAACUACCAGACAUUGGACCAGGUUAGCUUCCUGUUCUGCUAUUCUUUUGAGUUUUUAUCUGUUUUGUUCUUUUGUAUUGGUUAAUAUGGAGAGGAAAUACUCAAGGAUAGAUGAUAACUACCAGACAUUGGACCAGGUUAGCUUCCUGUUCUGCUAUUCUUUUGAGGAAAAAAGUGAUGAUGUGCAUUGUUCUUUUAAUCUCCAUUACUGUUGCCAUGUUGUUGUCAGUAUCAUGUUCUUGAUUAAAAAAAUUCCAUGUUAAAUUCUGUUGAUUCCCUUCAUGAAUGUUUUUAAAAAAAAUCAAAGAAUAAUUUCCCAUAUUCUUUAUGAAAAUUCUUUUGUUUCGAAUAAUUCAUGACAAGUGAUUUAAUACCAAGCAUUGGAAAUAAAUUAAAAAAAAAAAAACACAUGAACUGAUGGUUGGUUUUCAAACAAUUCUUACAUCAAUUUGCUUCAUGUUCUAAUCAAGAUAUGCCUGAUUCUUUGAUUCAUUAUGCUAGAUUUAUGAACUUGUUGUCAAUAUCUGCUUCAAUUUGCGUAGGCAUGCAAGCUUAUCAAACCCUAUGUUUAUUCGAGUUCGAAGGGGAAUAUUAAAUAUACGUAUACGUCAGUUUUUUCAUAUAUUUGAAUGAUUGUAACAUCAUAAAUGCUCGGAUAAUAUAGCAUGAGCGUGACAUUGCUGGUUUUUACGGAGUUUUCUGUCAUUUAACCAAAAAUUAUCAGUCCAAAUAAAAUCAGAUUUGAAUCCUUUUACGAUCUCGAUUUUGUUCUUAUUCUUAACCUUUAAAUAUAUAUAUAUAGAGAGAUAAUAUUUGAUUAAAAAUUCUUCAGUAAGUAAGUAAAUUUGCAUGCAUGCAUGUUCUGACUCUUAUAAUUUACCUUCUUUUCAGUUUCCAAAUUCAUAAGUAAAACAAGAGUAAAACAGACCUGAUCAAUCUGGUUUUUGGCUUUGAAUGAUUCCAACUAUGAUCAACCUUGAAAAUUCAGGUAUUUUUUUCUGGGGAAACAAACAGAAACUAAACCCAGAAUUUGUAAGUGUUUUUCAAUGAGGCAGUUUUGUACAAUGGAAUGAGAUCUUAUAAUUAAGAAAAUAUAUCUAAAAUAGAUGAUGUUUAUUGCCUGUAAGGUACAAAUUGCGGAAAAAGGGAAGAAAAUUAACAUUGAACUUUGUUGGUUGGCAGCAACUCUUAUAGCUGUUCACUGUUUUCUUUUAAUUUUUUUUAAAAACAACUGUUUAAAAUCGAUUUAUUGUUUGAAAGAAUUGGAUUCGAGUAUUCCUUCUGCAAUUUUAAAGAAAAAAACAUUUCAACCAUGAAUGAUGAGAUAAUAUUGCAUUGGAAUUAAAGAAUACACUAAUAACAUGUUUGCUGGCUAAAACUCUCCCUAUAUAAAGAGAGCCUUGGGUCAUUAUUUUUCACACACUUGAAUUCAAGAGAAAGUUGUAGAGAGAAAAUUCUAUGAAGAGAUUAUUUCAGCAAAUUUCUAGAGAUAUUUUUUUGAUUUAUAAUUUGACCUAAAAGUUUAGAGAAAUUGUGAAAUUACCCCACUGGUAAUUUUUGUGAAAAUUUUUCUGAUUUGAAGCAAACCUAUACUCAGCAGACGUGAGCUUGAGGAUAGCGGAGAAGACUACUUAGUCGAAGCGCUCAUCCUAAACGAAUCUAAAAGGUCUAUCUCAAGAAACCUAUAUCAACAAAGUUUUAGAAAGAUUUCGGAUGAAAGAUUAUUCAUUGAGUGUGGCUCCUAUUGUGAAGGGUGAUAAGUUCAAUUUGAACCAAUACCCAAAGAACGAAUUUGAGGAGCAAAUGAAAAACAUUCCAUAUGCUUCUCUUGUUGGAAGCCUAAUGUUUACUCAAGUCUGCACAAGACCUGACGUUGCAUUUGCAGUUGGAAUAUUGGGAAGAUAUCGAGUAAUCUAGGUAUUGACCAUUGGAGAGCUGCAAAGAAAUUUUUCAGACAUCUUAAUGGGACAAAGGACUACAUGUUUACAUACAAACGAUCAGAUAAUUUGGAGGUGAUUGGCUACUCUGAUUCAAACUUUUCCGACUGUGUUGAUUCACGUAAAUCAACAUCAAGUUACAUAUUUAUGUUUGUUGGCUUUGCUAUAUCUUAGAGGAGCGUCAAGCAAUCCUUAACUGCUACUUCCACUAUGGAGGCUGAGUUUGUUUCAUGUUUUGAGGCUACCUCAAAUGGAGUAUGGUACAAGAGUUUCAUAUUUGGGCUUAGACUUGUGGAUUCGAUUUCUAGGCCAUUAAUGAUAUAUUGUGACAAUUCAACUGUUAUCUUUAUGGUUAAAAAUAACAAAAGUCAAAUUCGAAGUAAA